rnacentral:rRNA from 1 species
AUGCGAUCGCGCGACCCGCCGGUGACGACGCAAGUGAGCGUCGGCGGCUUUGACCGCAGCGUCUCGGCCCGCAGCCUCGCCGGCUUCCUGGAGUACAUGGGCAUCGGCCAGGUCUGGCGAUGCCGCGUCAAGAGCUCAUGGACUCCGCCGGGCUCCUACCCCGACUUCCUCCUUCCAGCAACGUUGGCGCUCCCUUAUGCGCCGUCGCCGCCCUACCUCCGAGCGCCCCCGCACGCGUUCGUCCACUUCGCGCACCCGCAGGCGGUGCGCCGCGCGAUCGACGCCGCGGCGAGAUCCGAGCUUCCACCAAUGCCGAGGCUCAAUGUACGUGCCGAGCUUCCAGUCAUGCAGGAGCCAAUGCAGCAGCAGCAACUCUUCUUCUGCGUACAGAAGGCCGAGGGUCUCACGUUCCCGGUUUUGUUCCUCGUGAAUGCAUUGGUGCACAAGGGGAUCAUCAACCAGCACCAGCUCACGCCGGAGUUCCUCGGCUUGCUGAGGGAAAGAGACGACCAUGACAAUGUGGCCGCGUUGAAGGAUUUCUGGGGGGAUAAGCUGCCAGUGUUCGAUGCAUGCCAGAGGCUAACGAAAGCCCUAGACAGAGUUAGCCCUAAACUUCUCCGGUGUGGGAAGGACAGGAGUCACAAUAACACUGUCGAGGUGCGGCGUCUGCUUUCCAACCGACUGCUAUGGCACUACCAUCAUGUGGCCGAUCGGUUCCUGAGAGUAACAUUCAUGGACGAGGCGAUGCAGUCACUCAACAACAAUACACUAAACUUUUACGCGGCGCCGAUCCUCCAGGAGUUGAUGUCACACUCAUUUAAGCAGAAGACCACUGUGCACAUGCGGGUCAGGACGUUCAUGACAUCAGGGUUCCACAUGUGUGGAAGAAAGUACUCCCUGCUCGCCUUCUCGCCGAACCAGCUCAGGGAUAGAUCUGCGUGGUUCUUCGCCGAGGACGGCAACACGACGGUGGAGAGCAUCAGGCAGUGGAUGGGACGGUUCACGUGCAGAAACGUAGCCAAGCACGCCGCUCGGAUGGGGCAGUGCUUCUCAUCAUCAUAUUCCACUGUCACGGUUCAGCCACAUGAGGUGAACGAGAAUCUUGAGGACAUUGAGCGAAAUGGCUACACUUUCUCGGACGGAAUCGGCAAGAUUGUGCCGGAACUUGCAAUGGAGGUCGCCCAGAGGCUGCAGCUCACGGCCGACAGUCCACCAUCUGCUUACCAGAUCAGGUUUGGUGGCUACAAGGGCGUGAUAGCAGUGUGGCAGGGAGAGAGUGAUGAUGGGAUACGGUUGUACCUGAGGCCGAGCAUGAAGAAGUUCGACUCUGAUCAUAAGGUGAUAGAGGUGCUUGCCUGGAGAAGGUUCCAGCCAGGGUUCCUUAACCGCCAAAUAAAUAGUGCUCCUCUCGAGAGCAUGGUGGGUAAUCUUGAAAAGAUCUUGACUGACAGUGACACAGCCUUUGAGAUAACAAGGAGGUCAUGUAGUCCUGAGAAUGCAAACACGUCGGCGCUGAUGUUGAGUGCCGGUUUUGGUCCCGGAACUGAGCCACACUUGAGGGCCAUGCUCUUGGCCAUCAGAUCUGCACAACUUCAUGAUCUCCUGGAGAAAACGAGGAUCUUCGUGCCAAAAGGCAGGUGGUUGAUUGGCUGCCUCGACGAGCUUGGGAUCCUCAAAUAUGGACAGUGCUUCAUCCGUGCCUCGGCUCCGUUGCUCGAUCCAUGUUUGGUCAAGCGUGGUGCAAAGAUCAUUGUUGGCACUGUAGUAGUUGCAAAGAACCCAUGCUAUCAUCCAGGGGACGUCCGGAUACUCGAAGCAGUCGAUGUGCCUGAGCUGCGCCACAUGGUUGAUUGUUUGGUCUUUCCACAAAAUGGCGAGAGGCCACAUCCAGAUGAAGCAUCAGGGAGUGAUCUUGAUGGUGAUAUAUACUUCGUCACAUGGGAUGACAAACUUAUAUCUCCGAGCAAAAAGAGCUGGAAACCCAUGGAUUACUCCCCACCGGAAGUGAAACUACUACCACGUGAAGUAUCUCAACAUGACACAGUUGGUUUCUUCUUGGAGAACAUGGUGAGUGACAAUCUUGGUAUGAUCUCCAAUGCUCAUGUUGUUCAUGCUGAUCUUAGUGAAUUUGGAGCUAUGGAUGAGAAGUGCAUUCGCUUAGCUGAACUAGCAGCAACUGCUGUAGACUUCCCCAAAACAGGCAAAUUUGAAGAUUCAAAAUCAUAUAAAUCCGAGAAGAUUCUUGGAAGACUUUAUCGGUCAAUCCAAGAAGCUUCUGGUGGCAAUUGGGAUUCUGAUGAAGCUUGGACCCUACAUGAUCUGCCUUACGACAGCGAUCUAGAAGUUGCCGGUGCAUCAGAUUUCCUUGCGAGUGCAUGGCAGUGCAAGUGCUCAUAUGAUAGGCAGCUGAACUCACUGCUUAAUCAAUACGGCGUCCGCACCGAAGCUGAACUUGUGACAGGGCACAUCUGGUCCCUUCCUAGGAACAACAGCAGAAAGCUAGUGGAUGUAAAGGACAGGCUCAAGAAUGCGUACAAUGCGUUCCAGAAGGAGUAUCGGUCUGUCUUCGAAAGCAUCACAUUAGAUGAGGUUGAGAUCUCCGAUGACGAUGAGAAGAAUCAGUUGUACGAAAUGAAGGCCUCUGCGUGGUACCAGGUAACGUAUCACCCCAAAUGGACUGAGAAGUCGAGGGCCUUAUUGGAUCCAGAUGAUGAAGAAGGAAUGCCGGUGAGGCUUAGCUUUGCAUGGAUCGCGGUGGAUUACUUGGUGCGGAUAAAGCUAAGGUGCCAUGGAGAAAUGGAAGUUGGAGGACGAAGGCCAGCUGGAAGGCUGGCGGCCUACAUUUCUGAGAGAAUAUGA